rnacentral:lncRNA from 1 species
GAGCUAGAGCCUUUCUCACCCCGACGGGCAGCACCUCUGCGCUGCUGCUCCUUGUCCUUCCACGAUGCUGCAAAGUUUUCUCAGCUGCAGAGAGUAACUGUCACCUGGAAACUUCGAGCCACCUCCAGCUAAACAGCAAAGUCAGCGGUGAGCACGGGGUGACCCUGAGCUUUACCCCCUCUGAGUACUGAUGAGGGGGAACUUCUGGAGAAUUCGGUUAAGUGGAUUUCACAGGGAAAGAUGAGAACUCUAUCUUCUUUGACCGAACAUUCAGUAACAGCGACAGAGUCGUUGUCUUGUGGGAGGUGAAUGACUUGCUUUUCUGGUCUUGGUGGCGGGUCUGGAGCCUCGUUGCUUUUGAGGAAACCUCUUCCUGGUUCUCUUGGCCACCCUUCUCCCUCCCCGGCCUGAAAUUGCUGGCACCCAGCUUGUCCCCUGACAGGAGAGUCCCUGCCGGCGGGUGCUGUCGGGAGGCUCGCUGGGGUCCCCCCUUGCCCACUGCGUGCUGUGCACAGCGCUUCUGCCUCCAGGUGGCAGAAUCGGGGUGUGGCAGGAGCGCCCUGGUCCAGGGACAGGGGCCGUGGGAGAGCUCCUCUCCUGAAGACAAGGUGACACGGACAAAGUGUGCGUCUCGGGAAGCAGGGACCCCGAGCCCCGGCAUGGCCAGGGCCCGCUCCUGAGUCUUCCCACACGGAUCCCGCCAGCCACGAGCUUGCUCUCUCUCCUGUCUUUUCUGGGGUCCAUUUUCCCUCCAUCAUGUGGAAUUCAAAAAGUCAGAUCACUUCCCCCUUUGAGGCACAAUUUCUUGCUCCCUGGAGGAGAAUGAGGCCGCAUCCCUCCAGCCUGAUGCUGCGGCUGGGGUGCCUCCGGGGUUACUGUGAACGCUGGCCUUGACCCGUUAGCGCACUGGCCUGAGUGCAGGGCAGCUUCUCAACUUGUGCAGUGACCGUCGGGUCCCUUGGUGUGUGUGUGUGUGUGCGCGUGCGCGCGCGCGCACACACACACACACACACACACACACACACACACACACACACACGAGAGUGAAUGCCAGCACCACCCCCGCCCAGCCCUUUCCUGAGCGAAAGGUGCCCUCACUCAUACUGUACACAUGCUCUUUGUAAAAACUCUUACCUGGUCCAACAGCAGAAGUGAUGACAAGGAUGAGACCUACUGCAAAGGGACUGAGGAUAAACGUUUUCUGAAAUGAUGAAACAUUUCUGAAAAGCAGAAUCUCUGCGUGGGAAGAAUAAGUCGCAGGAACAGUGGGAAGAGCAGGAAGCCCAGAUGACAGCAGGGUUUUGUGAAAACAAAACAGCUACUUCUUGCGCCUCUGUCCUCAUAUUGAACAUACAUAUGCACACAGGCAAUCCUGUGGAGAUCCUGGGCCCCCAAACAGCCAGCCCCUGGCAGCUGGCACAUCAGCUCCCCCAGACGGAGCCCAGUGGACUGCGGCUUGGGGUCAGGCACGGUGCUCCUGCCACAAAUGGCCUCUCCCUCAGCAGCCCUCAACUCAGCGGCUCACAACCCUGGCCGAUCCCUGGGAUCAUUUUAACAGCUUUCAUACCCCAGGGCCUCCCCCAGAGGGAUGACUGCAGACUCUGCAAAUGAUACUUAAAAAACCCCCUCCAGUGCCUUAACAUGACUUAAGAAAUAUUGGAGCUAGUUCUUUCCCUUUAAUGUUCUUGUUUGUAAAAUGCAAGCUUCCCGCCUGAGUCUUCGAGGUUUGACAGCUCUUGGUGCUGUUUGUUCUGAUUGUUGGGCACGCAGGCAGGAAGCAGGCACAGCCCUGCCCUCCUCUCUCCGUUGGUACCGUCGGGUGAGGACAGAGCCAGUGGUCACUCUCGGUGGGUGGACCGCCCCUCCAGGUACCAUGACCGGCCUCGCUCUUCCCUGCCUUGCUUGUCAUCGACCCGAACUUUCCUCUGGGACCCCCUUUCCGGACGCGACAUUUAACCACCGCUGGCCGGCGCCUCAACCUAUGAUCUGUUCUGUACCAGAUGACGUGCCCCUGCCCCGUGCCUUCCCCUCUCCUGCUCUCUGCGUCCACCCCUCUGACUCCUAAGUAGCCCCUGCUCUGGCCCGGUUCCAUAGUAAAUCCUGACAAUAGUAAACUAGUGAAUCACCCACCACUUCCCCUGGACCUCUCGGAAGCGCUCCGAGCAGAGCGGCCUCACCCUAACGCACCUGUCGCGUCCUGAGGAGCAGACAGGGCUGCGCGGCGACCCCAGCUCUUCACUGCUGUGUCCAGACCACCGGGCUCCCCUCCUGAGGCUUCUCCUUCAGCGACCUUGAGGAUGACCUUUAGACCCAGAGACCUGCAGCUCGGGGUCCUUUCCUACUCGUUCCCAAGGUGAUGGGGUUAUUUCAGCUCAGAAAACCUCAAGGCUCAUAUCAGAAACCCAAACUUAACGCUCAUCUUACCCUGCUUUGCUUUGCAGCUAGUGUGCUUUUCACAAAUGGAAGGUUUGUGGCAACCCGACGUCAAGCAAGCCUGUCAGAGCCAUUUCCCUGCAGUGGCUUCUCCCUCUGUGUCUCUGGGUCACUUCCCGUAAUUCUUGCAAUAUUUGGAAUUUUGUCAUUAUUGGUUUGUUACAGUGACCCGUGAAUAGUGUCUCUGAUGCUCUUAUUGCACAAAGAUGACCACUCGCUGAAGUCCCAGAGGAUGAUUUGCGUUUUUUAGCAGUUGAGUAUUUUUAAACUAAGGUAUGUGCUUUGCUCUUGGGGCAUGAGGCGCCUGCACACCUAGGCGACGGCAGUAGAGUGCAAACACGACCUUUAUGUGCACCGGGAACCCGCGAACUCUGCCUGAUUCGCUUGGUUUAGGUUUUCACUUCUUCUGGAACCAAGCCCGAAAUGCCUCUGGGGCGCCCUGGACGCUGGUUUUCUAAAACAAUGAGCAGCUAGUGUUGCACGAACACUCUGUACCGUUCAUUUUUUUCAUGAUGAGGCUGCUGCCCCUCUUCCCUCCCGGUUGGAUUCUGGUGUUCCUUCUGGGCCCGGUCUCUCUGGGUCACCUCUCCAGAGCGUCCAGGGCUGCCCCUGUCGCGGUUCUGGUGAAGGCCGAAAGCUGGCUUUGGUAACUUACUGUGUUCGGAAGCGGGCCGUCUGUCUGGAGCCGGCAGCAUCUCCCCGGGCCCCGGGCACCGCCUCCGGGACUCCACGCGUUUGGCCAUGCCCAGGUAGCGAGGGGCCAGGCCAGCCCACGAGCCCCAUGUGCUGUGCUUGGCCGGGCACUGUCAUUCCUCCUGCACUUUUGCAGCUUCUAGCCCUUUUCCUCUGCUGAUUUAGGUAACAUUUCCUUUGUAAAUCCUUCAUAAAAUGAAGACUUUCAACUUGUAGUUAAGCUCAUUUUCCCGCUCUAGCCAGUUAUCUGUGUCUAAGUGCUUGAUAGGACUUCAGAACCCUGGGGCGCGUACCUGUGUGUGUGGAGAUCUGCUUGUGGGUCGAGCUGGCACGCCCGCGGACUAAAGCCCGAGAGCAUAGUGUGGGGACGAGCCGGCUCUGCCAUUCAUGCUCAGUUUCCUGGCUCCUUUGUAAAAAUUCUAUCAAGCUGUAUGGGAGUCAGGUGAUGGAGAUGACCCGUUCCUUAAAAGCGAGUUCUAUUUAUGGAUAUUUGACUUUCAGAAGACAGGAAGGUCAUGAACCCUGGCAUAUAGGUUCCCUUGGAAAUGAGAUGGCCCCCUCCCUUGCAUGGUGACCAAGUCUGGGCUGUGUUCGCAUCUGCCAGCCCCGGGGCGGCUGUGAGGGGUGCCCGUGGCCCAGCUGAGGCUGGCAGGGCAUCAGGGCGGCCGUGUUGCUUGAUCGCUCCCUUCCUGAAGUUCCUGGAAGCUCUGCCCAGAUGAGAUGUUAAUAAAGCUGCCCUGCGCGUGCUGUGCAGUGGAGCCGGUGGAAUGGAAUGACUGCAACGUGAGUUCCUCACCCCGGCUCCUCACCAGCCUCCAGAGGCAUGUCAUCAUCCUCCUCUGCCCGAAAAGGAAGUGGAAUCAAGAGAGACUCUGCGACUUUCCCAAGGCCCGAGCCUGUGCGCUCUCUGGAGCUUGAAUAACUGGUUCUGGAAUUGUAGCUUGCAGGGAAACGCCCCAGAAUCUCCGGAGGGGCCUGAUGGCACGUGCCUGGAGUGCCCAGCUCCAGCCUCCUGCCCGCUCCUUGCCUGAGGCUCCACAUCCUGGGGGGAGGAAGGCGACAUGGUCCCUGUGAGAAUGACCUCAGCUGACGGAGCUCCCCCCAAACUUCCCGCCCACCAUGGUAAUAAUAACGCAGCAAAACAAAACUCACCAGCCCACAUAUCCACCAGAGAGCAAAUGGGGAAGUAAAUUGCCCUUGCUCACCGACAGGGAGUUCCUGUACAGCUCCUGCGCAGAGCCCUUCCGAGGCCCCGGGUGGGCCUUGCAGGCUGCUGGCAGGGCCUCCUGGUUUAUGAAAUUUGCGUAAGGAGAACGUCUUGUGAUUUGCUUGUCAUUCCACGUGUUCGCUUUCACGCUGUGCCUAAUUUUGGAUGCGCGAGUCUCGAGGCCCACAAACCCCGUGUCCUAUCCACAGUCACCCAGCAGCCCUGCACAGCAGCAAGCAGAUGGCACUAGGUCAGUGUGGCCAUUGAGCCGCGGCCAAGAUGUAGUCUGUGCUUUGCACCAGCAUCCGUAGGACAAUCCAGUUUGUGAAAAGAAAUGAGCCAUAUUCGUGUUCACCUGAGCCCCUUUGAAGCAGCUUUUAGCCCUGCCUGUCCCCUUUUGUAGCCUUGGUCUUCUCUGGAACUUCAAAAGUGAUAUUGACUCUGUUAUUUUUUCUAAUUAGGAAGAAUUUAUUUUAUAAGAAGUUUGAAAAAAUUACAAGUAUAAUGAGAAUCUGUUCUGAGAUCCUGCUGCUAACAUUUAAAGGUGGUGUCUCUUCCAGCGCAGACCCCCAGCUGCCCUUUGCCUUGGGGUGUGGUCGCUGGAGCAAAGAAUCUCCUUUAUUUAAAAAAUGAUGGUGCAGGUAGCUUUAUUAGAAAUGGAAAGGUCGUUGAGUUUUUUCCAACACCUAAACAGGCUGUGUUUCUCAGAAUAAACAAUUUGUGGCCUGGCUGGGACCGGGGGCGGGGACCAGUCCUGUUUUCCUACUGGGAGUGUGCUGGCUUAACAGCAUAUUUCUAAAGACCUAAAAACACGCAUGGCCUUCCAACACUCAAGGAUUGGUUGACUAUAUAACUUGACUCUAUAUGAUGAAAUACUCCUCAG